UUAAAGGGCCUGAUCCAAAGCCCAUUGAAGUCAAUGGGAGUCUUUCCACUGAUUUCAGUUGGGCUCUGGAUCAGGCCUCAGUUGC
rnacentral:pre_miRNA from 1 species